rnacentral:rRNA from 1 species
UACGUAGGGUGCAAGCGUUGUCCGGAAUUAUUGGGCGUAAAGAGCUCGUAGGCGGUUUGUCGCGUCUGCUGUGAAAACUGGGGGCUCAACCUCCAGCCUGCAGUGGGUACGGGCAGACUAGAGUGCGGUAGGGGAGAUUGGAAUUCCUGGUGUAGCGGUGGAAUGCGCAGAUAUCAGGAGGAACACCAAUGGCGAAGGCAGAUCUCUGGGCCGUAACUGACGCUGAGGAGCGAAAGCAUGGGGAGCGAACAGG